rfam:Myotis brandtii contig178830, whole genome shotgun sequence.
GGCAGUUCUUGGGUAACACAACCAGGAAUCGGACUCCCUCCUCUCUGGUUCCAGGGUGCUUCACCAGAGAACCGCA